rnacentral:rRNA from 1 species
UGAGGAAUAUUGGUCAAUGGGGGCAACCCUGAACCAGCCAAGUCGCGUGAAGGAUGAAGGUCUUAUGGAUUGUAAACUUCUUUUACACGGGAAUAAAGUGGGGGACGUGUCCCCCUUUGCAUGUACCGUGUGAAUAAGGAUCGGCUAACUCCGUGCCAGCAGCCGCGGUAAUACGGAGGAUCCGAGCGUUAUCCGGAUUUCUUGGGUUUAAAGGGUGCGCAGGCGGGAUGUUAAGUCGGCGGUGAAAUUUUGCAGCUCAACUGUAAAAGGGCCUUCGAUACUGGCCUCCUUGAGUGUGGAUGAAGUAGGCGGAAUUUGUGGUGUAGCGGUGAAAUGCUUAGAUAUCACGAGGAACUCCGAUUGCGCAGGCAGCUUACUAGGCCACAACUGACGCUCAUGCACGAAGGCGUGGGGAUCAAACA